rnacentral:siRNA from 1 species
UGCCACUGUCGGUGAUGAUGUC